UUUUCUCUCUCAAAUUCCCGCAGUUUUCCCGGCUCCUGCUCAUUUCCCUCCAAUUCAGACCUUUCUCUCUCAAUAGCCUAGUUGUGAAGAUCUCUCCCUCUGUAGCCUAAGAUUUGAAGCGCUCUCCUUCCAUGGUAAAUUUCUCUCUAUCUACGAUCUGAAUAUAUUUCCUCUACUUUACCUUUUAUUUUAUGCUUCGUAUAAUCUACAUGUAAAGACCUUCUGAAGACUUAUUUUCUCUGUAUUUUUUCGUAUAUUUUUCCUGUAAUCUACAAUCUGAAGACGAUAGACAUAUUUCCGCCAGUUUAGCUCCCGAUCAGAAAAUUUCCUUCUCAGAAUCAGUAGCGCAGAGGUGCGUCAAAUUGUGAAAAUCCAUUUGCUAUUCAUGAUUUCGUAUGUCUCCUGUUGAAUAUUAUGUGAAUUUGUGCACUUUCCCAUAUAUUGAUUCUAUUAUUAAAAGGAAAAACUUAUGUAUCUGAUUUGAAAAUAUUGAUUUGAUUAUUGUGAAUCUUAUGCGGAUUGAAAAACUUUCAUAUGUCUCGUUUUCAUGUUGUUCUUUGCUUGAUGAAUAUUGCUGCUUUCUGCAAAAGCUUUUUGUGUGCGUUGUAUUACAGGCUGUGUUGCUUGCUCGGGUGUUAAAAUAUGUCUAGCUACUAUUGUCGCUAAAACGAAAAUGUAUUGCCACUAAAAGCCUUUUUUGGUGUAGUGAUUUAAGGAAUAAAGAUGCCUUAGACUUAGCAGCAUUUGUGAGCUCUAAUAGAAAAGGGACUAAAGUAGGCCCUGUUUCACAAGUUAUUAAGAAGGUUUCUUCUCAGGGUCCCAAAAGAAUGCAUGUCAAUGACAUAAGCAUAAAUACACGACCAUCAUCCUCUAUUCAUCUCAUAUAUACACUAGUACUGUUGACAAAAAAGGCAAAGUUAACACUUUUCAAAAGUCCCAACGGUGAUUUUAUGUCUAUCUUGGGUCUAGAACAGUUCAUGACACGGUGUAUAUCAGCUGACUCUGUUGAUUCCUCUCUAUAAAAAAACCAGGUUGCUUUGGUUGAGGAAGAACCAUAUCUUCAUUUCCCAACCAGAAAACUACUGAUGCUAUUGUAGGCCUAUCCUCUGGCAGUUUUUGGAUGCACAACAAACCAACCUGAAUGCAUCUUAAUACUUGAGAUUCUGAAAACGAUUCUUCCAAACAUUCGUCCAUCAGUUCCAACGCUUUGCCUUCAUUCCAAAGUAAUCAUGUCUAAAGUUACAAACAGAACACAUUUAUACAGUUGCAUUCACAAUAGAAAGAGUGACUAAUGAACAAAGUUUUGUGCUGUAUCGCUUACAUGUCCCAAAAGAUUGUGAUGAUGUUCCAAAUGACAAAUUUCCCGUUCCUUCGGCCACUAAUUAUUUCUAGAAUGAUUACGCCGAUACUGAAUACGUCUGAUUUUACUGAAUAUUUCCCGUCAACAGCAUAUUCUGGGGACAUAUAUCCAUUGCAUCAACUCAUCUAAUUUAAGUUCAUGUAUUGAUUGAAUAUAUUAAAGAUUCUAGGGUAAGCAUAUGUAAAACUUACUAUGUCCCUAUUACUCUCUUAGUUUCCUUCCACUUGGUCUCCGCCCAAAAUUUGGCAACGCUGAAAUCAGAAAUUUUGGCAUUCAUGCCACCAUCUAAUAAAAUGUUGCUGGUUUUGAGAUCUUUGUGAAUAAUUCUUAAUCUUGAGUCCUGGUGAAGAUAAAGAAGACCUCGAGAUAUUCCCCUAGCAAUUUCAAAGCGGUUGUUCAAUCUUCCAUGCAAGUGAGGUAUUUCUACUUGGAUAUGCACAUUGUAGAUCUAAUCACUGAGGCUGCAAAGAUAUUGAGGACUUAUCAAAUAGGAGCAGUAUUUAGUAAAUGAAUCAAUGAGAAGCAGUAGUCCAAGCUAGUGUUUGGCAUAAAUUCGUAGAUUAGCAUCCUUUCUUCUCCUUCAAGGCAACAGCCCAAACGCUUGACAAGGUUCCUAUGUUGCAGCUUGGAAAUGAGAACGAUUUCAUUCUUUAACUCUUGAAGGCUUUGUCCAGAAUACUUUGAUAGCCUCUUUACUGCUAUCUCUUGUCCAUUUGGUAGGAUACCCUGCAAUUUUCUUUCAAGGGUCAAAGAUACCACUUCUAGCUAGAAGCUCAAGAUCAAAGUUGAUUACCUUGUAAACCGGUCCAAAGCCGCCCUCACCAAUCACAUUAGCAGAAGAGAAGUUCUUAGUGGCACUAGUAACAGUAAUUAAAUCAAACAAUGGAACUCCAUGUCCUCAUCUCCAUUUUCUGAACCUGUCAAUAUACGUUUGCCCGUCACAAACAUGACAACAAUGAUAGAUAAUUCACCUAGGUAACACAACAUUCACAGUUACGAUUUUCUAAUUAAGCUGUUAGACUAGAGUAGUAUAUUUACCUGUUCUUCUUUUCCUUCUUUGGAAGGAAAACCAAGCUAAAAAGCUGAGGAUAAAUGUUGUUACUACUACUGUAAUGACAACAAUCAGGAUUGACCUCUUUCUCCUUCGCUUCAUGUCUGAAUCUGUUAAAUAAUUAGUCCAUAAAUGGUCUUCACUUUCAGUAGUGAAUUGCAUGAGUGUAAUAAUUGCAACAUUUGCAAUUAUUCAAAUGCUCUUUGCAGCAAACUACUUCCAUUCUAGUGCCACAAAAUGAGGUAAGCGAACAUAUUGCAGAAGUGCAGCCAUUUAAUGGUUGAUUAAUACUUAAACUAUUUUUUCCGAUGUUUCAGCUUAGGUUUAGCAAAGCCGGAGGGAGACCUUGUCAUAGGUUGAUAAAGAUUUCUUAUCCUUUACAAUGUGAUAGACAUAUUACUACUAAAACACCUAAUGAUCAACUUUAAUGUCCAUCAAUUAAGUAAAUAAGAUAGUAGAGUUCCUUCAAUUCUAAAGAGUUGUGCAUUUUAUGUUGUACAUGUUAGGGUCAUUACCUAAUUCUGAACCAGCGACUCUCACAAACAGGUCUUGCUCAUUUUGGCUGAACUCUCUAAUAUCAGUGAGUUCUUCAAACCAUUGUAAGCAUCCACUUCCGCCAUUUCUUGUCACGACCCCAAUUUCCCUCCGUGGGAUAUCGUGACGGCACCUAGUCUCUAAGACUACGUAAACCUAAACAAUAUGCGAAAACACUAAAUAAGAGAUUAAAACUUGAACAUCCCAACAAUUUCGUAAAUGGAAUCUACCAAAACUCAAUACAUAAAAUCCCAAAACCUGGCGAGAUAUAAGUCACAAGCUCUAAAGAGAAAAUGCUAAGUAUUUCUAUACAUCAGAGUCUAAUGAAAAUAAAAAAAAUAAUAUAAUAAGGAUAGAGGGAGACUCUGAGGUCUGCGGACGCUGGCAGAUUUACCUUGAAAUCUCCACGUACGGGCUAUCUUACUGAUAUAUGGUCUGGUAAGUAGUACCUGGAUCUGCACAAAAAGAUAUGCAGAAGUGUAGUAUGACUAUACCAUAACGGUACCCAGUAAGUGACAAGCCUAACCUCAGUAGAGUAGUGACGAGGUCAGGUCAGGGCCUUACUGGAAAUAAUAGAAAACAAGGCAGAAGAUAUAAUAAUAUAAUGAAAUGACUGAAAAGUGAACAAAUGAGAAUUUAGAGAAAGAAUACAACACGAGAUUCAAGAAGACAACUACAACACUUGAGGAAAAACAUAGCAAAUAAAGGUAAAUAACAAGGGCGCUCCCGAGGUACCGCCUCGUAGUCCCAAAAGUAAAUACACAACAGGGGCACUCCCGAGGUACCACCUCAUAGUCCCAAAAGUAAAUAUGCAAUGGAGGCGCUCCCAAGGUAUCGCCUCGUAGUCCUAAAAGUAAAUACACAACAGGGGGUACAGUCUCGUAGUCCCAAAAGUAAAUAUGCAACAGGAGCGCUCCCGAGGUACCGCCUCGUAGUCCCAAAAGUAAAUACAUAACAGGGGCGCUCCCGAGGUACCGCCUCGUAGUCCCGAAAGUAAAUAUGCAACAGAUAACCAAUGGGACAAUGAAGUUACAGCAAGGAAUCCUACAGUUAAAGACUGAAUACAAAAUCAAGGAAACAUGUAAUCCAACUAAGCAUGUUGCACAAAUUGCAAGUAAGAGAUAAGACACGUAAACAUGCGACAUUAGGCUAAACAUGAUGACUACACAUGCUAGAGUAACUCACUUAAGGAAUUUAAAAGGAAACUACUUAGCAAGAACCAGAUUUUUAACAUUUAACCCGAGUACGCACUUGUCACUUCGCGUACACGGCCUUCAUGUAUUGCAAAUACCAUAACAGUACCAAAACCCACACAAGGUUAGACAAGUCACUUACCUCAAAUCCCGCUAAAUCAAUCAAUAAGAAUGCCUUUCCCUCGACUUUUCAACUCUGAUCGGCUCGAAUCUAGCCAAAACAAUUACAUACUAUAAAUAUAAGUAUAAGAAACUAAUUUAAAUAAUAAAUUUACGACAUUAGCAAAGAAUUGGAAAAUCGCCCNNNNNNNNNNNNNNNNNNNNNNNNNNNNNNNNNNNNNNNNNNNNNNNNNNNNNNNNNNNNNNNNNNNNNNNNNNNNNNNNNNNNNNNNNNNNNNNNNNNNNNNNNNNNNNNNNNNNNNNNNNNNNNNNNNNNNNNNNNNNNNNNNNNNNNNNNNNNNNNNNNNNNNNNNNNNNNNNNNNNNNNNNNNNNNNNNNNNNNNNNNNNNNNNNNNNNNNNNNNNNNNNNNNNNNNNNNNNNNNNNNNNNNNNNNNNNNNNNNNNNNNNNNNNNNNNNNNNNNNNNNNNNNNNNNNNNNNNNNNNNNNNNNNNNNNNNNNNNNNNNNNNNNNNNNNNNNNNNNNNNNNNNNNNNNNNNNNNNNNNNGAAGUUUUCCCAAUUUUUCUUCAGAUUCCCAACUAAGAACACUAAUUAAAUGAUGAAAACAAUAAUAGAUUCGUUUAAUAUAGCCAAAAUCGAGUGAGAAUUUCUUACCCCAAUGAUUUUUAGAGGGCAAAAAUUUUUAGAUUUGCUCUAAGUCCAAUUUUUGUUUCGUAAAUCAUUCAGAAUCCACCCGAGGCCCCCGGGACCUCAACCAAAUAUACCAAAAGUCCUAAAACAUCAUAUGAACUUAGUCGAGCUUUUAAAUCAUAUCAAACAACGUAAAAAACACGAAUUGCAUAUUGAUUCAAGCCUAAUGAACUUUAGAACUUCUAACUUCUACAUUCGACGCCGAAACCUAUCAAAUCAAGUCCGAUUGACCUCAAAUUUCGCAUACAAGUCUCAAUUGACAUUACGGACCUACUCCAAUUUCCGGAAUCAGAAUCCGACCUCUAUAUCAAAAAGUCCACUCCCGAUCAAACUUUCUAAAAAUCAACUAAUUUUUCAACUUUCGCCAAUUAACGCUGAAAUGACCUACAGACCUCCAAAUCAACCUCCGGACACGCUUCUAAGACCAAAAUUACCCCACGGAGCUCUUGGAACCAUCAAAAUUCUAUUCCGGAAUCGUCUUCAUACUUCCAUUUUAGGGACUACGUGUCCCAUUUCACUCCGAAACCAAAAAUCAAAAAUCAAACCUCCCGGCAAACCUAACCACAGAAUGAAAUAAAGGGAGCAAUAAAUAGGGGUUCGUGGCCAAUUGUCUCAAAACGACCGGCCGGGUCGUUACAUUUCUAACAUCAAGAUUUGAGUAAGCUGUACAAUUGCAAUCAGCCAAGCACAAUUUCUCGCAUUCUUCAAGGUUCAUGCUCCAAUUAUACCAGGUGUGUCUAGAAUUCGGCAUCUUGAUACCUGUAAAUUUAAGAAAACCAUAUCGAUUACAAUCCAUAGAAGUUCUCCUUACACAACCACUAGACUAGUCUGUUGCAUACCAUCUUGGUUACAAUCCAAAGAAGUUCUCCUUACACAACCACUAGACUAGUGUGUUGCAUACUGUUGAGGAUACCUGUGAAGACAUAAUUAAGUAAUCAAAAUAAAUUUUUACGUGCUUGGUCCAAGAAACAGAAUUAUGUAAUUAAAAAUGUGCUCUCUUUAAUACUUAAGAAGAGAUGAUCACAUAGUUUAACAAAUACCUAGACUUGAAACCUUUCAGACAAUCACAUGGAGGAGAGUUAUUGAUGUUGCAACUUGCAUAAGGACUACAUAAAGCAAAAUGAUCAUAGUUAUCAAAUUGCGCUGUCAAAUAGAGAAACCAGCUCUGACUGCGCUCAAUCCAUAUUAGGUGUUCUAACACCCCAGCUGAGUUGAUCACCACCCUGGUGGGCAGGGACGCAUUCUUUAUAUCGUAUUUGUAGUAAAUUUCCUGCUGAUUAAUAACAAACUCGAAAGUAUAAUAUGUAUUUGGUUUAUUAUUCGGACUAUCACUAAAUGCAAUACCAUUUCAUGGCCCUAAGCUAUAUACUAUAGAUGACUUUUUCAACACGAGUAAUUGUGGGUGUCCAUGAGAAUCAAGACGGUUAACAUAUUCUCCAGGACCAGGACCGCUCUUCCAUGACAAUGUGUACCAAUCCAUGCCAGUGACUAAAAUAUGUCCAAGCUUCAUGCCAGGUAAUAAAGUAUUUCCUGGAAAAUCAAAACUCUGCCACGUGAAAUUAGUUUCCGGAUCCCUAUCAUUUCCAUCACUGAUAACAAGAUUCCCAGAAUCCAGGAGGCAUGCUUUUGGAUUAUUUAAAGACCUUGAUGACCAAAUUGAGGCAUUGGAACUGUUGACAAGCACAAGAAUUCCAUUAGGAUUGAGUGUUAACACCCCUGAAGUGUCAUUUAGUGGAAUAUUUCUUGUUGGCAACCCUGUUAUUUGUGGCUUGGAUUAUUUCAGGGGCGGCUCAAUAAAUAUGGAGGCCUAAAGAAAAAAUUCAAUGAGAGGCUCUUUUUUUAUAUAAAAGAAAAAACUCAUAUAAUUUCAUUUAAAUUCUGUAUUUAUAGUUUUUUAUAUGCAAAGUUAUUAAUAAUUUUAUCUAAUCCAUUUAUUUUCUCUUGAGAUAUACACGUUGUGAGACUGUAUUAAAAUUUUAACCAUUUAUCGAAUCCUUUCUCAAUUUAUGGUCUAGAAAAUGAUUCCCAAAAAGACAUGUUUUCUCAAUUUAUGAUCAACAAUUUAAUCAUACUUUUUUACUAUAAAAAUUUGUACUUUCUCAUUUAAAGUACUAAAUAUUCUUCUAAAAAUAAAUGAAUAUAUAACCUAUUAGAAAAUUUUGGGGCCCAAAAAAUUAUGAGACCCAAAGCAGCUGCUUUAGCAGCCUUACCCUUGGGCCGGCAUUGGGUUAUUUUCUUGUAUUUUUAGGAAAUCCAUAAUCCCUAUAGGUUUGGGAAAAUCCAUUGUUCUAAUAAUUUUGGGUAAGGAAAACUUAUUUUCCUUGUCAAAUUGGGAAACCUCUCUCUUAUAGGUUUGAGACUAUUUGAUAUAUAUAUAUGGGUUGUAUAGUUGGGGAUUUUAUAAAUUAUAGUGUGUUUUUCUUCUCAUCAUAGUGAAAAACUCUCUCUGCUUCUGCCUCGCAUAUUAGGCUUAGCCGAACCUCGUUAAAUCCUUGUGUUGAUAUUUUCUUCUCUAUUUGCUUUGUGUGUGAUUGUGUGCCAAUUAACCCUCGAUCUUCCGCAACAAUUGGUAUCAGAGCAAGGUUCGAGUUUCUGCAUAUAAACUAGGUUUAAGAUAUCUUCAUCAUAUAUAACAAAGUACGAAGUAGAGAAAUUUGAUAGGGGUUUUAGUUUCAGUCUAUGAAAGAUUAGGAUAAAAUCGUCCCUAGUAUUACAAGGUUUAUGGAAGGCAAUUAAUGAGGAUUUUCUUGAAGAGAUGAAAGAGACAGAGAAGGCAGACCUAAAAGAGAGGGCUUUGAGUGUGAUCUUCGGGAAAUUGCUGAAGAAACUUCUGCAUCAACGGCAUGGAAGAACCUGGAAGAUCUGUACUCUAAGAAAUCGCUGACAAAACACCUCUACCUGAAAAAGAGGUUAUACUAUCUCCGUAUGAACGCGAAGUACACCUGAUAAAACUCACCUUGAUGAAUUUAAUUCAAUUAUAAUGGACCUGAAGAAUGUGGAUAUCAACAUUGAGAGUGAGGAUCAAGCCUUGAUUGUGUUAUGUUCUUUAUCACCGUCUUAUGAUACUUUUGCCGAUACACUGCUAUAUGGGAAAGAUAGUAUUUCAUUGGAAGAUGUUAGUAAUGCACUAAAGUCUAAAGAGUUGAAAAAAGAGCUUUUCAAACAACAGAUUUGAGGUGAGGGUCUUGUGUGUAGAGGAAGAACACAACAAAAGGACUUUAACAGGAAAAAGUCAACCGCCAGAUCGAAGUCUAGAGAAAGGGAGCAAAACUGUUAUGAGUAUGGGGAGCAAGGUCACUACAAGAUAGAUUGUCCUAAGCUGAAAGAGAAAAGAGGGAAGCAGAAAAUAAAUAAUUCUGCAAAUAUUGUUGACACUAGCAAUAAUUCUGAUGAUAGUGACUAUGUAGAGGAAGUCUGUGCUGCGAUUUCUAGUCAUGGGCAAAAUUUUUGGGUUCUUGAUUCUGGUGAUACUUUCCACAUGUGUCCAUACAAGAAUUGAUUUGCAACUUACAAGCAGACGAGUGAGACUGUCUACAUGGGAGAUGAUAAUCUAUUACCAGUAGAGGGGAUUGGUAACAUCAAAUUGAGAAUGUUCGAUGGAAUUAUCAAAAACAUUGAGUGUUAGCAUGUUCCCCGAAUAAAGAAAAAUUUGAUUUCCCUUUCGACUUUGGAUGAUCUCAACUUGAUGAUAAAAUAAAAUAACUGUUAGAAAAUAAAGACUGUAAAGUAAAGACAAGUAUAAAGAGAAACUGAUAUAUUAUUCAACUUCAAACUGAUGUACAUAAUGAACUGAAAUCUCUUCUAUUUAUAGAAGAAAUAAAGUUGUUGUGUAAGCUGCUACUGUAAGCUGUUGUAUAAGCUGUUUGUAAGCUCCUACUACAAGUUGUUGUGUAAGCUCUUACUGUAAGUUGUGUAUGCUGCUUGCAAGCUGUUAUUGUACCAGUUAUAGAUAAUCUUCUACAUGAGUAAUAUUUAUCCACAACGGAGUACCGAAAUGAUAAGCUUCUUCUGGAGGCUUAUUUCCAAUAGAGUACUAAAUAGAUAAACAUAUUUACGGUGAAGUCCAAUAAGGGUAAGCUUGUUCAGGAAGCUUAUUUAUAACAGAGUAAUAAAUUGACAUCCACAAUAUAAAAUAUUUAUAACACUCCCCCUUGGAUGUUCAUUAAAAGAUAAUGUGCCUCGUUAAAACCUUAAUACAAAAAAUCUCGGGGGAAAAAGUUCCCAAUGAAGGAAAGACAGUACACAUAUUUAGUAAUACGCAUUGCUAGCUAGCUCAUUAAAAACAUUAUAAGGAAAACCAUAUGGAAAAAACCUUAGGAUGGAAAAGGAGUACAUCGCGUAUUUUACUCCCCCUCAUGAAAACCUUAUUUCAAAUAUUUGAGUCUCCACAUUCCAAUCUUGUAUACCAUUUUCUCAAACGUUGAAGUUGGUAAGGAUUUAGUGAAUAAAUUUUUCGGGUUGUCACUUGAAUGGAUUUGCUAUUAUCUCAGCAUGAUUUGAAGAAGUAUCAAUAAUAGAUUGUUUUGUAGAGUUCCAUGAUAUGACAGUACCUCCACAUGUAAACACGUACCCAGUUUGAGAUUGAGCUUUAUGGGGAUCAGAUAAAUAAACUACAUCUACAUAAUUAACAAGAUUUGUACUAUCUUUGUUAGUAUAAAAUAAACUCAUGUCAAGAGUUCCUUUUAAAUAUCGCAAUAUAUGCUUAAUCCUGUUCCAAUAUCUUCUUGUAGAGAAGAGAGAUAUCUUGCUGGUAAAUUAACAAAAAAUGCCAUAUCAGGCCUUGUAGCAUUAGCAAGAUAUAUAAGUGCACCAAUUGCACUGAGAUAGGGUAUUUAAGGACCAAGGAGUUCCUCAUCCUCUUCUAGAGGUCGGAACAGAUCCUUAUUCACUUCAAGUGAUCGAACAACCAUUGGCGUACUCAAUGGGUGCACUUUGUCCAUAUAAAAGCGUUUUAAUACCCUUUCUCUUUAGGCAGAUUGAUGGAUAAAGAUCUCGUCUUCUAAAUGUUCAAUUUGCAAAUCAAGGCAACGUUUUGUCUUUUUAAGAUCUUUUAUCUCAAAUUAUUUCUUAAGAUAUUCAAUUGCCUUUUGGAUCUCUUCUAGAGUUCCAACAAGAUUUAUGUCAUCAACAUAAACAACAAGAAUAACAAAUUAUGAUGACAUUUUAAUUAUAAAAAUACAUGGACAAAUGACAUCACUUAUAUAACCUUCUUUCAGCAAAUAUUCACUGAGGCGAUUAUACCACAUGCGCCCAGAUUGAUUUAAAUCGUACAAAGACCUUUAUAAUAUGAUCGAGUACAUUUAACCAUACUUUGAACUAUAUGCUUCAGGAAUUUUAAAUCCUUCACGCAUUUUAAAUCCCAUGGGAUCUUCAUAUAGACUUACUCAUAUAGUUAUAUAUGUUAUGACUUGCUUUUAAAUAGCAUGACAUCUUCAGGUGUUUGGACUAUAGAUCCGAUCCUUACAGUCUUUUAUAAUAUUGUGCACUAUAUUGUAUCAAAAUAUCGUCGACAAUCAUUUUGUAACGGUUCCUAAGCGAUAUAACUUGUUGAGAUCUCAUCACUUUCUUUAUUUUCAGGUACUAGAACUUCUUCUGGGGUUUCAUGAAAUGUUAUGUCGUGGGAUCUUCUAGAGCUCAUUUCCUCCUCAUUGUGAUCACUUUGAUCAUUUGCCCUAUUUGUUUUCAACGAUUGUUAACUGUGGAACCAAUAUAUUUACUACGUUUUAUGCGUGAAGUAAACUUUAUCUUUCAGGGAUUUUAAUUUUAAUAGGAGUGUUUGUAUCUGAAAUAUGAUAUUUAAUUUUGGAUCAACAAAUGCUUCUGGCAUUUGACUUGAAUUAUCUUCUGAGUGAGGAUCAUACUAAUGAUAAUUCGAUUCAUAUAGCAUAUUUUCCAGCUGUUUAUUUCAUCCACCGAAUGUUAGCAAAACUAACAUAUAUCCCCUAUCUUAUUUGGGAAAUCUAUUUUUGUGCGUUGCGGUAGAGAAAUUAAUCAUAU
rnacentral:lncRNA from 1 species